UUGCGCUUUUUCCAGGGCACCGGCGAGCGCCGCGAGCCUGUGGCCGCCGUUUCUCCACCUCCGUUCCACCGUCACCCUCUCCCCGCGACGCCACCGGGAGCGUCCGAUCCGCCCGCGCUCCCGAGCCGCGACCGUCCGAUCCCCGCGCGGGAACUAGUGGCCAGCGUCGCGCGGGCCUUGGACGGCGGCGAUGCGCGCCCCGUCACAUCGUGCGGCUGA
rnacentral:misc_RNA from 1 species